rnacentral:rRNA from 1 species
UACAGAGACUGCAAGCGUUUAUUCGGAUUCACUGGGCGUAAAGGGUGCGCAGGCGGCCAAGUGUGUGAGGCGUGAAAGCCCGGGGCUUAACCCCGGAAUUGCACCUCAAAACUACAUGGCUAGAGCAUUGGAGAGGGUAGCAGAAUUCAUGGUGUAGCAGUGAAAUGCGUAGAUAUCAUGAGGAAUACCAGAGGCGAAGGCGGCUACCUGGACAAUUGCUGACGCUCAGGCACGAAAGCGUGGGGAGCAAAAGGG